CGUCCAGCUGACAGCCUGCCAGACGCCCUGCGACUGCGAGCUGUGGAAACAGAUCGUGCUCAAACAUCAAAAACCGUUUUGCUCGAUCUACACAAUUAAAACUGGACGGCUCAAUCACAUACAACCCUGCAUUGAUGAGCGUGGAUGGUGGAAUAGCCGGCUUUUCGUGAAAGCGCGCAAUGUGAUGCCCGUCUAUUUCCGCCACACCAUAUUCAGACGGAUUGGGCACUCGCACGAGCGCGAUUGUGGCGCCUAGCUGUAAACCUUCGGCUUGACGCGCGGCAUGAAACUUCGCGAGUUGAGUUAAAUCCAAACCUUUCAGCUCAUCCCCAUUGGUCACAAAAAAUGGCUCGUGACCAAGUGCGAGCUCAUGGACCAACGCACCCAUGGUUCCCAUGGCCCGUGUUUCUUCAAAUAAGUCGAUAGAUAUCACAUGCGGUUGCGCCACCCACGCUUCGAAGGCAGCUUUCCAUUUCGUCGGAUAUAUGACGGUGACGCGUUCGAUACCAUGCGCGGCAAACCAGCGCACCAGCCAGGUAGCGAUUGGAAUGCCUUGCACCGGCACCAGCGGCUUAGGAAUCUCCAACGUGACGGGAAGCAGGCGUGUACCCUGCCCACCAGCUUGAAUAAUGGCGUGUCGAAACAUAAAUAGGAUAGGACUUACACGUUUGGAUGCAGAACGCGAAGAACCUUGCCUGGGUUUGACAUAUGCCGGAAAGCUCUAGAGAUAGAGCCCCUUUUAGUCGGUAUACAGGUGGUGCAUGGCUGUCGUCAGCUCGUGUCGUGUGAUGUUGGGUUAAGUCCCGCAACGAGCGCAACCCCCAUUCUUAGUUGCUAACGGGAGAGCCGAGCACUCUAGGAGAACUGCCUGCGAUAAGCAGGAGGAAGGUGGGGAUGACGUCAAGUCAGUACGGCCCUUACGCCUGGGGCUACACACGUGCUACAAUGCCCGGCACAACGGGUUGCGAAACCGCGAGGUGGAGCUAAUCCCUAAAAACCGGGCCCAGUUCGGAUCGAAGGCUGCAACUCGCCUUCGUGAAGCUGGAAUCGUUAGUAACCCCACAUCAGACACGGCGGGGGGAAUACGUUCCCGGGUCUUGUACACACCGCCCGUCAAGUCAUCCGAGUGGGUUGCACCCGAAGUAGGCUAUCUAACCGCAAGGAGGAUAUCUGCGAAGGUGUGACUCGUGAGGAGGACUAAGUCGUAACAAGGUAGCCCUACCGGAAGGUGGGGCUG
rnacentral:rRNA from 1 species